CCUACGGGAGGCAGCAGUGGGGAAUAUUGGGCAAUGGGCGCAAGCCUGACCCAGCAACGCCGCGUGAAGGAAGAAGGCUUUCGGGUUGUAAACUUCUUUUAAGAGGGAAGAGAAGAAGACGGUACCUCUUGAAUAAGCCACGGCUAACUACGUGCCAGCAGCCGCGGUAAUACGUAGGUGGCAAGCGUUGUCCGGAUUUACUGGGUGUAAAGGGCGUGCAGCCGGGCUGACAAGUCAGAUGUGAAAGCCCGCGGCUCAACCGCGGAACUGAAUUUGAAACUGUCAGUCUUGAGUACCGGAGAGGUCAUCGGAAUGCCUUGUGUAGCGGUGAAAUGCGUAGAUAUAAGGAAGAACACCAGUGGCGAAGGCGGAUGACUGGACGGCAACUGACGGUGAGGCGCGAAAGCGUGGGGAGCAAACAGGAUUAGAUACCCCAGUAGUC
rnacentral:rRNA from 1 species